GAUCCGGGGUACCUGUGUCUGCAUCGUCAUAAGAUGCAGGCCAACUGGCAUCAGUACAUUGAAUGUACGAGUAUGCGAGCUGGGAAGCUAACCACAAUUAAAGCUUGGAAAGAGUACACGAGGACACUUACCUUGGCUCUGUUCAACUCAUGAAUAACUGAACUCAAUAUAUAAAGCAAUAAGACACAUGCGAUAUAUAAAGCUUGUAAAACUCUUAAAACAUGACGUAAAAAUCAUAUUUAUAAUAUCAUGAAAAUAUCAUGCUUCCUCUCAAGGUCUACUUGUGCAAUGCAUGAAUGAAGUCCCAUACCCCCAUCCAUACUAAGCAGAACCCUCGAGGAACCAUGCUCUUUCUACUGUGGGAGCUUCUCUAACCGAC
rnacentral:lncRNA from 1 species